ACCAGCAGCCAUAUCACCCUGCAACUCACAACUGGCAACCCACUGAAGCUCAGCAGGUGUGAGCCUGGCCAGUACCUGGAUGGGAGACUUCUUAGGAAAUCUAAGGGUGCUGCUGGAA
rnacentral:rRNA from 1 species